GAUGAACGCUGGCGGCGUGCCUAAUACAUGCAAGUCGAGCGAACGGACGAGAAGCUUGCUUCUCUGAUGUUAGCGGCGGACGGGUGAGUAACACGUGGAUAACCUACCUAUAAGACUGGGAUAACUUCGGGAAACCGGAGCUAAUACCGGAUAAUAUUUUGAACCGCAUGGUUCAAAAGUGAAAGACGGUCUUGCUGUCACUUAUAGAUGGAUCCGCGCUGCAUUAGCUAGUUGGUAAGGUAACGGCUUACCAAGGCAACGAUGCAUAGCCGACCUGAGAGGGUGAUCGGCCACACUGGAACUGAGACACGGUCCAGACUCCUACGGGAGGCAGCAGUAGGGAAUCUUCCGCAAUGGGCGAAAGCCUGACGGAGCAACGCCGCGUGAGUGAUGAAGGUCUUCGGAUCGUAAAACUCUGUUAUUAGGGAAGAACAUAUGUGUAAGUAACUGUGCACAUCUUGACGGUACCUAAUCAGAAAGCCACGGCUAACUACGUGCCAGCAGCCGCGGUAAUACGUAGGUGGCAAGCGUUAUCCGGAAUUAUUGGGCGUAAAGCGCGCGUAGGCGGUUUUUUAAGUCUGAUGUGAAAGCCCACGGCUCAACCGUGGAGGGUCAUUGGAAACUGGAAAACUUGAGUGCAGAAGAGGAAAGUGGAAUUCCAUGUGUAGCGGUGAAAUGCGCAGAGAUAUGGAGGAACACCAGUGGCGAAGGCGACUUUCUGGUCUGUAACUGACGCUGAUGUGCGAAAGCGUGGGGAUCAAACAGGAUUAGAUACCCUGGUAGUCCACGCCGUAAACGAUGAGUGCUAAGUGUUAGGGGGUUUCCGCCCCUUAGUGCUGCAGCUAACGCAUUAAGCACUCCGCCUGGGGAGUACGACCGCAAGGUUGAAACUCAAAGGAAUUGACGGGGACCCGCACAGGCGGUGGAGCAUGUGGUUUAAUUCGAAGCAACGCGAAGAACCUUACCAAAUCUUGACAUCCUUUGACAACUCUAGAGAUAGAGCUUUCCCCUUCGGGGGACAAAGUGACAGGUGGUGCAUGGUUGUCGUCAGCUCGUGCCGUGAGAUGUUGGGUUAAGUCCCGCAACGAGCGCAACCCUUAAGCUUAGUUGCCAUCAUUAAGUUGGGCACUCUAAGUUGACUGCCGGUGACAAACCGGAGGAAGGUGGGGAUGACGUCAAAUCAUCAUGCCCCUUAUGAUUUGGGCUACACACGUGCUACAAUGGACAAUACAAAGGGCAGCGAAACCGUGAGGUCAAGCAAAUCCCAUAAAGUUGUUCUCAGUUCGGAUUGUAGUCUGCAACUCGACUACAUGAAGCUGGAAUCGCUAGUAAUCGUAGAUCAGCAUGCUACGGUGAAUACGUUCCCGGGUCU
rnacentral:rRNA from 1 species